rnacentral:rRNA from 1 species
GACGAACGCUGGCGGCGUGCUUAACACAUGCCAGUCGAACGGUGAAGGGAUCAGCUUGCUGGUUCUGGAUGAGUGGCGAACGGGUGAGUAACACGUGAGUAACCUGCCCCCUUCUUCUGGGUAACCGCAUGAAAGUGUGGCUAAUACGGGAUAUUCUGGGUCUGUCGCAUGAUGGGUCUGGGAAAGAUAUUGUUUCGGUGGGGGAUGGGCUCGCGGCCUAUCAGCUUGUUGGUGGGGUGAUGGCCUACCAAGGCGGUGACGGGUAGCCGGCCUGAGAGGGUGGACGGUCACACUGGGACUGAGACACGGCCCAGACUCCUACGGGAGGCAGCAGUGGGGAAUAUUGCACAAUGGGCGCAAGCCUGAUGCAGCGACGCCGCGUGAGGGAUGGAGGCCUUCGGGUUGUAAACCUCUUUCGCCAGUGAAGCAGGCCUGCUCCUUGUGGGUGGGUUGACGGUAGCUGGAGAAGAAGCGCCGGCUAACUACGUG